AUUGAACGCUGGCGGCAUGCCUUACACAUGCAAGUCGAACGGUAACAGGGAGCUUGCUCCGCUGACGAGUGGCGAACGGGUGAGUAAUGCAUCGGAACGUACCCAGUAGUGGGGGAUGACGCAGCGAAAGCUGUGCUAAUACCGCAUACGCACUGAGGUGGAAAGCAGGGGACCUUCGGGCCUUGUGCUAUUGGAGCGGCCGAUGUCAGAUUAGCUAGUUGGUGGGGUAAAAGCUCACCAAGGCGACGAUCUGUAGCUGGUCUGAGAGGAUGUUCAGCCACACUGGGACUGAGACACGGCCCAGACUCCUACGGGAGGCAGCAGUGGGGAAUUUUGGACAAUGGGGGCAACCCUGAUCCAGCCAUGCCGCGUGAGUGAAGAAGGCCUUCGGGUUGUAAAGCUCUUUCGGCCGGGAAGAAAUCGCCAUCUCUAACAUAGGUGGUGGAUGACGGUACCGGAAUAAGAAGCACCGGCUAACUACGUGCCAGCAGCCGCGGUAAGAC
rnacentral:rRNA from 1 species